rnacentral:pre_miRNA from 1 species
CUGUGACUGUUUAGAUGGUCGUGUGGGGUAUGCGCACACAGCCUCAGCAGUCACUGCU